rnacentral:rRNA from 1 species
AUGUCCGGCUCCGACCUUCAGGGCCGGUGGAUGCCCUCCUCCGUCACGGAGGAGGACGUGUUAAAGCUGCGUGAGGCCAAGUACCUGUCUUACGAGAUUUCGCACAGGUUGUCCAUGCAAGGGCAGGCCGUACCCACUCCCGAGCCCGGUGAGUACAUCGUCUUCGUAUCCCACCUCCGUCGGGGUUUAGGCUUCUCGAUGGACCCCUUCGUGAGAGGGCUCAUGUUCUACUAUGGGCUGGAUUUUCACGACUUGGCUCUGGAGUCCAUCCUCCAUAUUUCCGCAUUCAUUAUCGUCUGCGAAGCCUUCCUCCGCGUCACCCCCCACUUCGGCCUGUGGCUGAAGACCUUCAAUGUGGAGCCGAAGAUGAUCGGGGGGCGUCAAGCAGAGUGCGGCGGGGCGGCCAUAAGCAGGAGGGCCGAUGCCCCAUGGCCCGAGGGCUCCUUCCAAGAGGAGCUCGGCUUGUGGCAGCAGGAGUGGUUCUAUAUCACCGCUCCGAAGGGCAGCAGGCAAAAGCUGCCGCCUUCAUUCCGCCCGGGACCUCCGUGA